rnacentral:rRNA from 1 species
UCGCCUGUUUAUCAAAAACAUCGCCUCUUGCUGAAAAUAAAGAAUAAGAGGUCCCGCCUGCCCUGUGACUAUAAGUUUAACGGCCGCGGUAUUUUGACCGUGCAAAGGUAGCGCAAUCACUUGUCUUUUAAAUGAAGACCUGUAUGAAUGGCACAACGAGGGCUUGACUGUCUCCUUUUUCAAGUCAAUGAAAUUGAUCUCCCCGUGCAGAAGCGGGGAUAAAACCAUAAGACGAGAAGACCCUAUGGAGCUUUAGACGCCUGAGUAAGUCACGUUAAACACCCCCGGACACGGGGCUAAACCAAAUGAAAAUUACUCCAUGUCUUUGGUUGGGGCGACCGCGGGGAACCAAAAAACCCCCACGUGGACUGGAAUUAUGCAAUUCCACAACUAAGAGCCCCCGCUCUAGUUAACAGUAUCACUGACCAAUUAAGAUCCGGCAGAGCCGAUCAACGAACCGAGUUACCCUAGGGAUAACAGCGCAAUCCCCUUUUAGAGCCCAUAUCGACAAGGGGGUUUACGACCUCGAUGUUGGAUCAGGACAUCCUAAUGGUGCAGCCGCUAUUAAGGGUUCGUUUGUUCAACGAUUAAAGUCCUACGUGAUCUGAGUUCAGACCGG